UACGUAGGGCGCAAGCGUUAUCCGGAAUUAUUGGGCGUAAAAGAGCUCGUAGGCGGUUUUGUCGCGUCUGCCGUGAAAGUCCAGGGCUCAACCCUGGGAUGCCGGUCGUACUGCCGGACUAGAGUUCGGAAGAGGCGAGUUGGAAUUCCCGGUGUAGCGGUGAAAUGCGCAGAUAUCGGGAGGAACACCAAUGGCGAAGGCAGCUCGCUGGGACGUUACUGACGCUGAGACGCGAAAGCGUGGGGAGCAAACAGG
rnacentral:rRNA from 1 species